rnacentral:tRNA from 1 species
GAGUGUGAAAAUAUUAGUUUUGCAAAAGCUAUUUAGAAUUAUUUUUAGUUCCACGCUUU